rnacentral:lncRNA from 1 species
GGGGAAUGCCAUGGCUGAUGGGGAAAGCUUGACUUAGGAACCAAGGGCACGGACUUGGCACAGAGCCGGGAUGAGAUACUGGAGCGCAGCCCAUGAGUUGGGAGUGGAGGAAAGGAAAAGCUGCAGCUUGGCUUCUUCUCUCUGACCACUAGCCAGCUCCAUAUCUCAGGAUGGAUCCAGCAGGAACAUGGGAGCUGACAUGCAAGAAGCCCCAGUGCUCUGCCAAGGCCACACAGGUCAGGGGAAAAGUGUGACUUUGCCAAAUUCGCAAAGCGCCGCGGACGUGGCUGGCCUGGCAAUGACUCAGGGGUGAGUAGCUGCAAGAACCUCCAAGGCCAGACUUUGGAGGCGUUUUGCUAUCUAAAGAAAGCAGUAAGGUGUUAAAUGCUGAAGAGCUUUAAAAACCUAUGUGCCGGUCUUCCUUACCAGCACCUGUGGCUGCUGGGGAGUGUGUAAGUUUGAAGGGAUUCAAUCAGUCACAAGUGGAUAAUUUUGUGUUUUC